rnacentral:lncRNA from 1 species
CUCUAGUUCAGUCACGAGACAACCUCAGGAUACUAGAAUACCAGGAGCUCCCCAGGGAGAAAAGUUGCCAAAAUUUCGUUCGCGAAUUUCAAGUCUUCCUUCGCCUCUAAUGUCACCACUCUUCGGAGAAGGUUAUCAAGUGAGAAUGUCUCCUCUCCUUACGAUGACCGGCUCGACAAGGUUGACCCUGACGGUGAACUUGGCAUGCAAAAAUCCAGAUUGAGCGGAG